AUACGGAGGAUCCGAGCGUUAUCCGGAUUUAUUGGGUUUAAAGGGAGCGUAGGCGGACGCUUAAGUCUGUUGUGAAAGUUUGCGGCUCAACCGUAAAAUUGCAGUUGAUACUGGGUGUCUUAAGUACAGUAGAGGCAGGCGGAAAUCGUGGGGGAGGGGUGAAAUGCUUAGAUAUCACGAAGAACUCCGAUUGCGAAGGCAGCCUGCUGGACUGUAACUGACGCUGAUGCUCGAAAGUGUGGGUAUCAAACAGGAUUAGAUACCCUGGUAGUCCACACAGUAAACGAUGAAUACUCGCUGUUUGCGAUAUACAGUAAGCGGCCAAGCGAAAGCGUUAAGUAUUCCACCUGGGGAGUACGCCGGCAACGGUGAAACUCAAAUGAAUUGACGGGG
rnacentral:rRNA from 1 species